UUUUUGAGAGUCACCCGGAAGAUAACUGUGGACUAAUUUGUCAUUUAGGGUAGGACAUCUCUUAAAGCUUAUGACUGGUGGCUCUGGGAAGACUUGGCGUAGUAGUCUAUCACUUUGGAUGAUUCCCCAAUUAUUUUGACUGAUUAUUUUAAUGCUCUGCUUCAGUGCUGUAUUUUGUAACAAAAUACACUCUCUCCGAUGUAUCACGGGCACUCCCCUUCGCAACAAGUUCUCUCUGUCAAGUAAUCCAGCCCUUAUACCUGCAUCUUUCAGGACCUUCAUGCUGUAGCCCUGAACGCUGUUUCUUUCAACUUUACAAGCAGUGACGAUGAGGAUCACCCCAGACGCUCAGAGGCCAGCUCCUCCCAAGAAGGGAUCAGGAAGAGGAGUCACGCAGGUUCCACAACAACAGGAGAGGACGCGGAAGAGGCCAACACAGAGGGGGAGGAAGAAAUCAAGACUAUCUAACCACACGGAGCAGGACCAGAACAAGGCUGUGAUCAACAUUUCUGGAGAACCCCUUUCUGAUGAUUACAUAAGGGAAUCUACAUCUGAAGGCCUGGUACAAACAAAACAUCUCUCCAACUACAGACGCCAGUAUCUCAGGGUCGUGAUGGGUCCAUUUGCUGUCAUCUAGUGGACAUUUUGCUCAAUUGCCCUCAGCUAUGGUUAGACUGUUGUUUUUCAUGUUUUGCUGUGUUCUAGUGUAUUAUGGAAUAUAUAGCUUUCUUAUUCUUGACACUUCUCCCAGUCAUAUUUAAGGUUAGAACUACCUUUUAGUGUUCUGAUACUUCUAGCUUGGAGUUGUAUUUUUAUGAUAACAUAGCUACAGUAUUUCACCUUUUAAUGUGUAUAGUAUUGCUUACUAGGUGUGUCCAAUCAAUUGUGUAACCACUCCCUCUUCCAAUUAGGGCUAAUAGAAAAGCUGUUCAAAAGAGGACAUUGUAUUCCUUUUUUUUGUACUCUCUGACGAAGGCCAUGCAGCCGAAACACGUUGGUUUAAAACAAAAACUUUGUUUCUAUUGAACAUGCCAUACUAAUAAAGGCAUUUUAAUCAAUUA